rnacentral:rRNA from 1 species
CGGGUGCGUAACACGUGAGCAACCUGCCCCAAAGAUCGGGAUAGCCCAAGGAAACUUGGAUUAAUACCGGAUACCUUCACCGGACCGCAUGGCCUGGUGAAGAAACGCUUUUGUGCUUUGGGAUGGGCCCGCGGCCUAUCAGCUAGUUGGUGAGGUAAUGGCUCACCAAGGCAUUGACGGGUAGCUGGUCUGAGAGGAUGAUCAGCCACACUGGAACUGAGAUACGGUCCAG